GUCUUGAUAGUGUAAUGAAUUAGCACAACAGAUCGGCUAUCUGUAAGUGCAGGUUCGAGUCUUGUCUGAGGUU
rnacentral:tRNA from 1 species